UACGUAGGGGGCAAGCGUUGUCCGGAAUCAUUGGGCGUAAAGCGCGUGUAGGCGGCUGGCUAAGUCCGCUCUGAAAGCCCGGGGCUCAACCCCGGGAGGCGGGUGGAUACUGGUCAGCUCGAGUCCGGAAGAGGAGUGUGGAAUUCCUGGUGUAGCGGUGAAAUGCGUAGAUAUCAGGAGGAACACCGGUGGUGUAAACGGCUUUCUGGACCGUAACUGACGCUGAGGCACGAAAGCGUGGGUAGCAAACAGG
rnacentral:rRNA from 1 species